rnacentral:rRNA from 1 species
UACGGAGGGAGCUAGCGUUGUUCGGAAUUACUGGGCGUAAAGCGCACGUAGGCGGCUUUUUAAGUCAGGGGUGAAAUCCCGGAGCUCAACUCCGGAACUGCCUUUGAAACUGGGAAGCUAGAAUCUUGGAGAGGCGAGUGGAAUUCCGAGUGUAGCGGUGAAAUUCGUAGAUAUUCGGAAGAACACCAGUGGCGAAGGCGACUAACUGGACUUGUAUUGACGCUGAGGUACGAAAGCUAGGGGAGCGAAAGGG